rnacentral:rRNA from 1 species
UUCGCAAUGCCCGAAAGGGUGACGAAGCGACGCCGCGUGGGUGAGGAAGGCCUUCGGGUUGUAAAGCCCUGUCAGGAGUUAAGAAAUGUAAGUGUGCUAAUAUCGCAUUUACUUGACGAAGGCUCCAAAGGAAGUCACGGCUAACUCUGUGCCUGCAGCCGCGGUAAUACAGAGGUGGCAAGCGUUGUUCGGAAUUAUUGGGCGUAAAGAGCACGUAGGUGGGUUUGUAAGUCAGAUGUGAAAGCCUCCUGUUCAACGGGAGAAUUGCAUCUGAAACUGCUGAUCUUGAGUAUAGGAGGGGAGAAUGGAACUUCUGGUGGAGCGGUGAAAUGCGUAGAUAUCAGAAGGAACGCCGGCGGCGAAAGCGAUUCUCUGGCCUAUUACUGACACUCAGUGUGCGAAAGCUAGGGGAGCAAACGGGAUUAGAUACCCCGGUAGUCCUAGCCGUAAACGAUGGGCACUAAGUAGAGGGGUUUU